UUGGAGGGCAAGUCUGGUGCCAGCAGCCGCGGUAAUUCCAGCUCCAAUAGCGUAUAUUAAAGUUGUUGCAGUUAAAAAGCUCGUAGUUGAAUUUCGGGAUCAGAUUGUCGGUCGUGCCUCGGUACGCACUGGCAUUAUUGGUUCCUACCUUCUGAAGAACCGCGAUGUCAUUAAUUUGGUGUCGUGGGGAAUCAGGACCGUUACUUUGAAAAAAUUAGAGUGUUUAAAGCAGGCUUACGCUUGAAUACAUUAGCAUGGAAUAAUGAAAUAGGACGUUUGAUUCUAUUUUGUUGGUUUCUAGGAUUGACGUAAUGAUUAAUAGGGAUAGUUGGGGGCAUUAGUAUUCAAUUGUCAGAGGUGAAAUUCUUGGAUUUAUUGAAGACUAACUACUGCGAAAGCAUUUGCCAAGGAUGUUUUCAUUAAUCAAGAACGAAAGUUAGGGGAUCGAAGACGAUCAGAUACCGUCGUAGUCUUAACCAUAAACUAUGCCGACUAGGGAUCGGAUGAUGUUAAUAUAUAAUGACUCAUUCGGCGCCUACGGAAAC
rnacentral:rRNA from 1 species